GUAAACGCUGUGACAAAGGAAGUAGCACCCGCCGCACAGGAACAGAGAGGGCACGCCGUCGGCUGAAAACGUGCCCGCCUGCACCGGGUUUGUGAAGUUCCCUUUUGAGCGUUCCCGCUGAACUGCACCUUUUAGUAGGCGGGAACGGACGGCCCCGUUAUCGGCUGCAAAAGUAUAAAAUUAGGGUGGUACCGCGAAGAUUUACAAGCCUUCGCCCCUUAU
rnacentral:ncRNA from 1 species